rnacentral:rRNA from 1 species
GAUGAACGCUGGCGGCGUGCCUCAUACAUGCAAGUCGAGCGCAGCGGGGACGGGUGAGUAACACGUGGAUACCCUCCUUUAAGACUGGGAUAACUUCGGGAAACCGUAGCUAAACCGGCUACUUAUAUAUGGAUCCGCGCUGCAUGAGCUAGUUGGUAAGGUAACGGCUGACAAAGGCCACGAUGCAUAGCCGACCUGAGAGGGGGAGCGGCAACACGGGAACUGAGAAACGGUCCAGACGCCGACGGGAGGCAGCAGUAGGGAAUCUUCCGCAAUGGGCGAAAGCCUGAAGGAGCAACGCCGCGUGAGUGAGGAAGGGCUUCGGAUCGUAAAACUCUGUUAUGAGGGAAGCGGUACCUAAUCAGAAAGCCACGGCUAACUACGUGCCAGCCGCCGCGGUAAUUC